UACGAAGGGGGCUAGCGUUGCUCGGAAUCACUGGGCGUAAAGGGUGCGUAGGCGGGUCUUUAAGUCAGGGGGGAAAUCCUGGAGCUCAACUCCAGAACUGCCUUUGAUACUGAGGAUCUUGAGUUCGGGAGAGGUGAGUGGAACUGCGAGUGUAGAGGUGAAAUUCGUAGAUAUUCGCAAGAACACCAGUGGCGAAGGCGGCUCACUGGCCCGAUACUGACGCUGAUGCGCGAAAGCUAGGGGAGCAAACAGG
rnacentral:rRNA from 1 species